GUGCUCUCUUUGGCAGCACAUAUCCUAAAAUUGGAACAAUACAGAGUAGAUUAGCAUGGCUCAUGUGAAAAUAUGACGUGCACAUUCUUGAAAAGCUCCAUAUUUUG
ensembl:snRNA U6 U6 spliceosomal RNA